AUGACUAGAGAUAAUCUGAGGAAAAGACACAUCAUAAAACCAGUUGAGUGUGUUUUUUGCUCGAAGGGUGAAACAAUUUUUCGCUUGUUUUUUGACUGUAUUGUAGCACAAAAUAUCUGGCCAUUCGUUUCUAGUCAUUUUAAGAUUCCAAUAGGAACUGGCUUUGAAUUUGUAUCCAGAUUCUAGAUCUCUAAUAAGAGAAACUCAGCUUUAAAUACUGUUACUUCAGUAGUCAUGUGGUGUUUAUGGAAAUAUAGGAACUCUAUAAUUUUUAACAACACCAUUUGGACUUCUAUUAUCCAGGUAUGGAGGCUGAUCCUCAGGACUCUCAAAUUCUGGGUGACCCUAUCUCCAGAAGGUGGCAAAACAAGACUGGCGGAGUUCUUGACAGCGCUAGCAGCAUUCUUACAGCAACCGGUGCGGAUAACAGGUGGCUGA
rnacentral:rRNA from 1 species